rnacentral:rRNA from 1 species
UACGUAGGCAGCGAGCGUUGUUCGGAGUUACUGGGCGUAAAGGGUGCGUAGGCGGUUGUUUAAGUUUGGUGUGAAAUCUCCCGGCUCAACUGGGAGGGUGCGCCGAAUACUGAAUGACUAGAGUCCGGAAGAGGAGAGUGGAAUUCCUGGUGUAGCGGUGAAAUGCGCAGAUAUCAGGAAGAACACCCGUGGCGAAGGCGGCUCUCUGGGACGGUACUGACGCUGAGACGCGAAAGCGUGGGGAGCGAACAGG